AGAGUUUGAUCCUGGCUCAGAACGAACGCUGGCGGCAGGCUUAACACAUGCAAGUCGAACGCUCGUAGCAAUACGGGAGUGGCAGACGGGUGAGUAACGCGUGGGAACAUACCCUCCGGUUCGGAAUAGCUCAGGGAAACUUGGAUUAAUACCGGAUACGGCUGAGAGGCGAAAGAUUUAUCGCCGGAGGAUUGGCCCGCGUUCGAUUAGCUAGUUAGUGAGGUAAUGGCUCACCAAGGCGAUGAUCGAUAGCUGGUCUGAGAGGAUGAUCAGCCACAUUGGGACUGAGACACGGCCCAAACUCCUACGGGAGGCAGCAGUGGGGAAUAUUGGACAAUGGGCGCAAGCCUGAUCCAGCCAUGCCGCGUGAGUGAUGACGGCCUUAGGGUUGUAAAGCUCUUUCGCUCGGGACGAUAAUGACGGUACCGAGAUAAGAAGCCCCGGCUAACUUCGUGCCAGCAGCCGCGGUAAUACGAAGGGGGCUAGCGUUGUUCGGAAUUACUGGGCGUAAAGCGCGUGUAGGCGGGUCUUUAAGUCAGGGGUGAAAUGCCAAGGCUCAACCUUGGAACUGCCUUUGAUACUGGAGACCUUGAGUCCGGGAGAGGUGAGUGGAAUUGCGAGUGUAGAGGUGAAAUUCGUAGAUAUUCGCAAGAACACCAGUGGCGAAGGCGGCUCACUGGCCCGGAACUGACGCUGAGACGCGAAAGCGUGGGGAGCAAACAGGAUUAGAUACCCUAGUAGUCC
rnacentral:rRNA from 1 species